rnacentral:rRNA from 1 species
CUACGCACUCCUACGGGAGGCAGCAGUGGGGAAUAUUGCACAAUGGGGGAAACCCUGAUGCAGCCAUGCCGCGUGUGUGAAGAAGGCCUUCGGGUUGUAAAGCACUUUCAGUAGGGAGGAAGGUAGUGUAGUUAACACCUGCACUAUUUGACGUUACCUACAGAAGAAGCACCGGCUAACUCCGUGCCAGCAGCCGCGGUAAUACGGAGGGUGCGAGCGUUAAUCGGAAUUACUGGGCGUAAAGCGCAUGCAGGCGGCCUGUUAAGUCAGAUGUGAAAGCCCCGGGGCUUAACCUCGGAAUUGCAUUUGAAACUGGCAGGCUAGAGUCUUGUAGAGGGGGUAGAAUUUCAGGUGUAGCGGUGAAAUGCGUAGAGAUCUGAAGGAAUACCAGUGGCGAAGGCGGCCCCCUGGACAAAGACUGACGCUCAGAUGCGAAAGCGUGGGGAGCAAACAGGAUUAGAUACCCUGGUAG